UACGUAGGGAGCAAGCGUUGUUCGGAUUUACUGGGCGUAAAGGGCGCGUAGGCGGCCACCGCAAGUCGACUGUGAAAUCUCCGGGCUUAACCCGGAAAGGUCAGCCGAUACUGCGGGGCUAGAGUGCAGAAGGGGCAACUGGAAUUCUCGGUGUAGCGGUGAAAUGCGUAGAUAUCGGGAGGAACACCAGUGGCGAAGGCGACUACCUGGCCUGUUUCUUGACGCUGAGGCGCGAAAGCUAGGGGGAGCAAACGGG
rnacentral:rRNA from 1 species